rnacentral:rRNA from 1 species
UACGUAGGGGGCAAGCGUUGUCCGGAAUCAUUGGGCGUAAAGCGCGUGUAGGCGGCCCGAUAAGUCCGCUGUGAAAGUCCAGGGCUCAACCCUGGGAUGCCGGUGGAUACUGUCGGGCUCGAGUCCGGAAGAGGCGAGUGGAAUUCCUGGUGUAGCGGUGAAAUGCGUAGAUAUCUGGAGGAAUACCGGUGGCGAAGGCGGCAUCCUGGACCGGCAUUGACGCUGAGGAGCGAAAGCCAGGGGAGCAAACGGG